rnacentral:rRNA from 1 species
GGGCGAAAGCCUGACGGAGCAACGCCGCGUGAGGGAUGAAGGCCUCUGGGCUGUAAACCUCUUUUCUCAAGGAAGAAGAUCUGACGGUACUUGAGGAAUAAGCCACGGCUAAUUCCGUGCCAGCAGCCGCGGUAAUACGGGAGUGGCAAGCGUUAUCCGGAAUUAUUGGGCGUAAAGCGUCCGCAGGCGGCCUUGUAAGUCUGUCGUUAAAGCGUGGAGCUUAACUCCAUUUCAGCGAUGGAAACUACAAGGCUUGAGUGUGGUAGGGGCAGAGGGAAUUCCCGGUGUAGCGGUGAAAUGCGUAGAUAUCGGGAAGAACACCAGUGGCGAAGGCGCUNUGCUGGGCCAUAACUGACGCUCAUGGACGAAAGCCAGGGGAGCGAAAGGGAUUAGAUACCCCUGUAGUCCUGGCCGUAAACGAUGAACACUAGGNGUCGGGGGAAUCGACCCCCUCGGUGUCG